UCCUAGUGUCUGUAAAUGACACUAGGGUGCAAUGCUCUACACUAUGUGUAGCAGCUAUUAGUAGCAGCCCCUCCAGUAGACGGCAGGUACAGAGAUGAGCAGCAAAUAAUAGACAUGUCCCGAUGCUGCGAUAAUUGCGCUAGGAGUAGAGCAGCAGCAGCAGGGACAUGUAGGGCAGCGGCAGUGAAUGAAUGAAGCCUACAUGCGGGACAUGUCAGCUUCAUUAAUUCAUUCACUGCCGCCGCGGACAACGAAUAAUUAACAAAUCUGUAUAUAUACCACUAGCGCUCCUAAGGGAGGUGUAGGGGGAAGGGUAGGAAAGUAAAUGUGUUAUAAAAACUCUAUUGUGGUAGCAGCCUUGUAUAUUAUGGGACCCUGUUCCCAUACAUAGGUCACAAAAGGACCCAAAAAUAAAUAAAUAAAUAAAUAAAUAAAUAUAUACUGGCGCACCAAGGUAUUAUAAAAUGAUAUCAAAUUUUAUAUAAAAAAGUUUUUUUUUUUAAAUUUAGUAAAAUGCUAAUGAAAUAAUAGAAUAUUGCACAUAGCUCCAAAGGGGCAUGUUUCCUCUGAGGGUAGGUCACAUCUGGUAUAUUAAUAACUGUGUACUGAGAAUGAAAAUGAAAUCACUAUUGGAGCUUUUAAAUAGUUAGUGCAUGGGGGAAAGAAAAAAAAUGGAGAACUAUACGCACCAACAGGGACACCCUGAUGUGUGUUAAAAUGGAGCUGUUAUAUAGUGAGCCUUGGAGGUCAAAUGCCGCUUCCUAAAGUGGCUAGUGCUUCUGUAAGAUGAUUGAGGUAGAUACCUCGCGUUUUCGGUCUGUAGUAAUAUCUGAAUACUGGGUGAUGCUUCCUCAAUGUGGGUAUUCACGGGAUAGACUCCUUUUGGUAUGAUCCGGGUAUGUCCUCGUAGACUAUCUUUGUCGUGGGAUCGGGAGGGAGAGAGCCCCGGCCGGUGGCGUCUCUACCGUUCCCAGGUUCCCCGUGCAGUGCGUUGAUUGACUAAGCCGUGAGUGACGUCACUACGGAAUAGCGGUUUGUCCAAGAACCUUUCCGACGCGUUUCGGUAGGCAAGUAUCGGCCUCCUUCGUCUGGGAUGGUUCAACGCAAGUUGUGGAACGCAAACAGGCCAGGCAUUGAGACGCACACAUGAUACACGUCCGGAAGUGACGCAGAUGGUGUCCUUGGUCCGGUGCGUGUAUCAGAACAUGGAAGGAGGCAUAUAUAAGGAGCAGAUGUGCUCUGCAUAGAUGCCGCCAGCCUGGAUCGGAGUCUGGUAUGGUCAUUAUCUGUACCCGGAUCAUGGCGGAGGUGAGAAUUAUUCUAAAUACUAUCUUAAGGCAGUGUAUUUGUAUCAUCUUGCUUUAUUACAGUGUGUGUUCUAUUCAGACAGGAUAGACAUUAAGCAAGCAAGGGAGAUUUCUCUGUGUGGAUUUGUGGCAGUCAGGGAUAUAUUGAGGUAAGAGUUAGUUCUGUAUGUCUCCGUGUUACUAUGUUGUGGUUUUUCCUAUAGAUCCUAGUAAUAAUACAGAUUGUCUAUACUACUUUUUUCCUUUAGCCUUUCUGCUGGUCAGUAUAGGCAGUGUGAGAAUUAUCAUUGGCUACAUAGUCCCUCACAUAUGGGAAAUUUAUCUUUAAGUGUGGAUUCUGUGGGAGCUAUAACAGCACCUUGGUCAUCAGUAUUUACACACGGAGCUAAUAGGGGCCAUUGUUGAGGAAGAAAAUAAGUGUACUUAUUAGAUUAUUUUAUAUCAUAUGGGCAUUCUUUGAUGUACUCUGACAUUCAGGUACUUUUCAAAAUUAUUCUAUUCUCUGUGUCACAAAUAAUGGUCUUUGUAUUUGUAUUCUGCUAUAUGUUCUUUUGCUGUAUGUGCUCAAUGUGCUCGAGCCGCAUGCUUGCUUAUUCUUAGUCUGUCUGCUUGCAUUUUGUUUGCUUAUUAACAGGUAUAUGUUUUUUUUUUGUUUUUCUGCCUGUCUGCUUUUUGCUUUUCAGGAUGUGGAAUUAGACCUGGAGGUCAUAUCAAGGACCUAGAGUGUAUUGGAUGUCAAGACAUUAUUGGAGAUUAUCCAUAAAAAGAAUCCAUCAGAGACUAUACCGUGCAUUUACUAAUCCUGCUUGCUUAGAGCUAUAUGUUUUCUUCCUGUCUGUUAUACAUUGAAUGGAAUAAGUUAUAAUAUACAUUCCUCCACUGUGUAUCUGGGGCCUAAAUUAUAAUCCCUGAUGAACCGUGGAUAUAUUUAACCCACGGGGAAACGUGUUGGGUUUAGUAAGGGUGUUAAAUAGGGGAUCGACCCUGGUUAGAGUCUCCCUGUAUUGUAGACCCGUGACUCUGUAUCCAUUUUAUAGUAACUAUAGGUUUUAACUGUAUUCAAUAAAAGUUGUUACUUUUUAGCUUUUUUCUUGGUUGGUCUUGAGUUAGUAAUGAGCUAAAUUGGAUUUGUGGUCCAUAUAUCAGUGAUUUGUUUCUUAUCUUUAACUACCCUCCCGUUCCCCUAUUUCCAUAACUAUCGAGUGGAGGACUAGUCAGGGGUGCCCCCGGUACCCGGCCUGAUCUGGCUUAGCGAUGGAACCUUUGGAAAUCCUCAUCCACAGUAAAACGGUUAUUUUCAGAGUGACAAUAGCUGUCUCUACCUACAAAGUCAUUCACUUGGCUGAUUACCUAUUACACUUACUAAACCAUUGCUUUCCCUCACCAAUCUAUUUGCCCUUCUUGAUAGUUUCUCGGCUGUUUCGGGUCUGGUGUUUAAUAGCAAAUUGGAGAUACUCUUCUGCAACACCCCUAGUUCUGUUCGAGACCUUAUUCAACUUAACUUUGCUCGUCACCCAUUUAUUACCUAUAUACAUGCCUUGGUAUUUCCUUACCCACUACUCUCUCUUCGCUCUAUAGAUUGAACUAUCCUCCUCCUUUUAAUUCCAUUAGAGAAAAACUUGCCAGAUGGAAUCUCCCACACACUUCCUGGCAGGGUAGUCUCUAUUAAGAUGGCAGUGUUGCCUAGACUUCUUUAUAUUUUCCGCAAGUUCCCUUUCCCUGUUCGUCUUAGUGACCUAAGUGCAAUACAGGAAGACAUGUUCCAAUUAAUUUGGUGAGGCCUUAACUCCAGGAUUCCACACUCCAUCAUGUAUCAUCAUAAAAGAGUUGGAGGUCUAUCUUUAUGUAAUUUUCUUCUGUUUUAACAGGCCAUGUGGCUCGCCCAGCUCCUUUUAUGUAAUGCCUAUUUUUUCUAUCCUAGAAGGAUUACUCUAGAGAAUUACCUACUUUCCUCAUACACCCUCUGUGCUCUCAUGUGGACCUCUGGUCUGGUUACUGCUUAUAUCCCCUUCUUCUGCAUCUUUAUCACUUUACUCUCUGCUCCUCCGGCGUGCUGUCCGCUUAAAGCUGCCUUUACAAUCCCCUUCAUCACCUGUCACUCCUAAUUUCCGUAACCCAUCCUUUCCCCCUGGCCUACAGCCCUCUGGUUUUGCCUGGUGGAUGUAGAAUAGACUCCUCUCCAUUUUCUUGUAGGGAAGAAACUUAUUACUAGAGAUUCUAGAAAUUCAAUUCUCACCCAGCCUCAUCCAGUGUUUUGAAGAUCUAUGCGCACAGGCUACUUUAUUGUCAUGCCUCCUUCCCCCAUGCUGAGCCUGCUUUUCUGCAAAAUGGAGCUCCACUGUGCAGUACAACGGCUGUGCCCGUGGCUACUGCACAAGCAGAGUAAAGCUCUAAUGCUGCAGAGUGGAGCUCUAUUCUGCAGCAUUGAAGGCAUGACAAUGAAAAAGCCAGCGUACCCAGGUCUUGAGAACACUGGCCGUCACCAAGCACAGGGGGCUUGGAAACGCCCCCCACAAGCUCCUCAAUAGCAUAUCCAAAAGACCAGUGAUUGUAGAAAAAAACUUAACCACGGACAGACGAUCGGUAAGUAUGGUUUUAAUCAGUGUCACCUGCACUAUAAUCCUGUUCCAACAGGUUAGUGCAGGUGAUACUGAUUAAAGAUUCCCUUUAAAGGGGUUCUCCUGUGCUUAGACAUCUUAUCCCCUAUCCAAAGGAUAGGGGAUAAGAUGCCUGA